UGUGUCACCUGACGAGGUUCUCAAACGUACCGUCACCCGACGAGGUUCUCAAACGAUAACCAGUCAUAGUCAGUCCAUUCAUCUCCAGAUAGCUAGGUGGACCAGUCAUAGUCAGUCCAUUCAUCUCCAGAUAGCUAGGUGGACCAGUCAUAGUCAGUCCAUUCAUCUCCAGAUAGCUAGGUGGACCAGUCAUAGUCAGUACAUUCAUCUCCAGAUAGCUAGGUGGACCAGUCAUAGUCAGUACAUUCAUCUCCAGAUAGCUAGGUGGACCAGUCAUAGUCAGUCCAUUCAUCUCCAGAUAGCUAGGUGGACCAGUCAUAGUCAGUCCAUUCAUCUUCAGAUAGCUAGGUGGACCAGUCAUAGUCAGUCCAUUCAUCUCCAGAUAGCUAGGUGGACCAGUCAUAGUCAGUCCAUUCAUCUCCAGAUAGCUAGGUGGACCAGUCAUAGUCAGUACAUUCAUCUUCAGAUAGCUAGGUGGACCAGUCCAUAGUCAGUACAUACACCCAACAGCAUUCUUCUCGCUGCGUCAUCGUCGGGGCCUGGCGGAGAUCGUCCGUAGUGUAUUACCGUUGAAAACACGAUGACGUUUCUUAAAAGGCAAAUAAUGAGUAGGAAAACCUUGUGUGAUAAUUUCGAUGUCGCCAGAUUGACUUAAAAUGGAGUAUAAUGUUUAGUUAGCAAAGAUUGAGGGAGACCGGCAGAUUUGAGCUAGCUAACGUUAUUGUUAGCAUUGCUAGCUAUUUUUUGACAAACUUUGCUAGCUAAUAACAAAAUUGCUAUUGGUCUAAAGUAAAUUUGACAACAUGAUGAUGAUGAUGAUG
rnacentral:lncRNA from 1 species